CAGCUGUAAGGGAAAAGAAAGAAGUCAUUAUAUACAACAGUGAAGACUGAAUCACUCUGACUUCACCAACCAGGCUACCUACGAGAGAUAUUGGCUGCUCUGCUUCAUUAUUUACCAUUCAGAACAGAAGUCUGGUCUGAGAUUUUACACAGAACUGACCCUUCUGUGUUAUAUGUAACCAUCAUUCCUGGUUUUGGAAUACAUUUUCUAAAUAUGCAAACCACACUUUUUUUUUUUUUUGGCUGUUGUUUUUUUUAUUUUUCAAGAUAGGGCUUCUUUAUGUUUUGUCCUCAUUGUCUUGGAACUCUGUAGAUAAGGCUGGUCUUGAUCUCAGAAGAUCUGCCUGCCUCUGCCUCCCAGUGGUUAUCACACCCAGCUGCAAACCACACUUUUGUAUGCUUGUAGAACUCAAACACUUAUGUACACUAGGCAAUGGCUUUACUACUGAGCAAUAUUUCCAACUCAGUUUUACCACUGUGUAUGUUUGCACCUAAUUUCCACGUGUAUAUAUGUAUGCAUUCAUUUAUUUAUUAGAAGAUUUCACUGGGAGGCUUUAGUCUCCCCAAGUGCAAGUACACCAGUUUUUGUUUUGCUUUGAGACAGGGUCUCAGUAUAUAACCCUGGCUGGUCUUACUCACAGAUAAUCCCCCUAAGAUUAAAGUUGUGCACCAUAAUGCCUUGCUUAUGAAAAUGCAAGCUCAAACUCAUCAUCUUCUUGCCUCUUCUUCUUCACCAUAUCUUACUACUGUGCUCUACCACAAUAGGCCACACCAGUAUUUUUUCCCCCCACCUUUUUUGAGACAGGGUCUUACUACAUAGCCCUGGCUGUCCUGGAACUCAUUAUGUAGACCAAGGUGGCCUCAAACUCAGAGAUCUGACUGCUUCUGCCUCUCAAGUGUGGGAAUUAAAGGUGUGAGCCACCCCUCAACACCAGAAUUUACUGAUUUUUAUUUUAAUUUAAACGAAUUAUUUAUUUCUACUUAUUUUAAACAAUUUGUUAUUACAUUUACAUUGGUGUUUUGCCUAUAUGCAUGUGUGUGAAAGUAUCAGAUCCCCUGAAACUGGAGUUACAGACAGUUGUGAGCUACCAUGUGGGUGCUGGGAAAUGAACCCAGGUCCUCUGGAAGAACAGCUGGUACACUUAAUCGUUGAGCCACCUCUCCACCCCCAUGCCACAAAUUUUUCUUUUUUUGGUAUUUCGAGACAGGGUUUCUCUGUAGCCCUGGCUGUCCUGGAACUCACUUUGUAGAGCAGGCUGGCCUCGAACUCAGAAAUCCGGCUGCCUCUGCCUCCCAAGUGCUGGGAUUAAAGGCGUGCACCACCACACCCAGCCAGAAUUUUUAAUGAAUUAACUAGUUCUUUUCCUAGAAUGAGGCACUGCAUCUGAUUUAACUAGUUCAUCAGCUCCUUAGUAAAAUAUGGGACUAAUAUUUACUGUACUUAUUUAAAAUUGAUAGAUCCAACUGAUAGUAACUAACUUUUAGGGAUAUCUUCUCUUCUUCCUUGCUUAAUCAACACUUUAAAAACAGCUUAGGUCUGGGUCUGGUGCCACAUGCCCAUACCCCAGCAUGGGGGAAGCACAAGGGUAGGAAAUCAUAAGCUUGAGAGCAGCUAGAACAUAGAUCUACCACUCUUUUUUUCUAAGAUGCUAUCUUCUUAUGCUGCCUAGGUUGACCCUGAACUGCUAAAACCAAGAGACUGACUUCUUGCCUAAGCCUCAGUAGCUAAGAUUUAGGAACGCUGAGCACUGAAGUGGAGGAUGUAUGCAUUAACUCUCAGAAAUAAUGAAAUGCAAGGUGUUAUCUACACACCACAGCUAUGCAAUACCUAGAAGAUGAUACUGAUCGCCUGGAACUAGGGAAACAAGUGCGACAGCUUUGCUGAAGGUAAAUCUACUUAGGCCUAAAGGACCCCUCGGGCGAGCUAUACCUGGACUCCUUGGUGGUGAUGACAGACGACAGCUGAUUGGUUGCUAGCCAGGACCACGCUUCUCCUUGUGCUGCUUCUCCUCCAAACUGCAACUUAAUGCACCUGCAAUGAAAAUGGCCCCACACCAGUAACCAGAUGCUGCAAUGUGACGACGUAAUGAAGAAGUUCUAAGACCCACACAUGUCUAUAUCCUUAUGUUUGCGUCCAGUAAGCUGAGAGGACAAGAAUCACUCUGAUUAUAGAAGGCCUAUAUGGUAUAGAGGUAACUACUACUCUCACCACAACUGGAUGAAGACUUACAAAUUAUCAAGUAAAGAAUAACCUGUCCAAGUUCACUUAAGAGUCUUGGGGACCCAAAUCGUCACACUGAAACCACCACACAGUUUCUAAGAUAUUUUGAUAAUAAAGUAACAUUUCUUCAUCUAUCC